CCCUUAGAUGUUCUGGGCCGCACGCGUGCUACACUGAGUGGAUCAGCGGGUCAGGUUGCGCGAAAGUGUUUCCUAAUCUUUAAAUCCGCUCGUGAUGGGGAUUGACGGUUGCAAUUUUCCGUCAUGAACGAGGAAUACCUUGUAAGCGCGGGUCAUCAUCCCGCGCUGAAUACGUCCCUGCCCUUUGUACACACCGCCCGUCGCUCCUACCGAUUGAGUGGUCCGGUGAGGCUUUGGGAUCUGAGCGGAAAGAGCGUUUCGCUGCUUCUGCCCGGAAAACUCAGUCGAACCUUAUCAUUUAGAGGAAGGAGAAGUCGUAACA
rnacentral:rRNA from 1 species